UCAGUAACACGUAGUCAACAUGCCCAGGGGACGUGGAUAACCUCGGGAAAACUGAGGAUAAACCGCGAUAAGUCACUACUUCUGGAAUGGGUAAUGACUCAAAUCUAUAUCGGCCCCUGGAUUGGACUGCGGCCGAUCAGGCUGUUGGUGAGGUAAUGGCCCACCAAACCUGUAACCCGGUACGGGCUCUGAGAGGAGGAGCCCGGAGAUGGGCACUGAGACAAGGGCCCAGGCCCUAUGGGGCGCAGCAGGCGCGAAACCUCUGCAAUAGGCGAAAGCUUGACAGGGUUACUCUGAGUGAUUUCCGUUAAAGGAGAUCUUUUGGCACCUCUAAAAAAAUGGUGCAGAAUAAGGGGUGGGCAAGUCUGGUGCCAGCC
rnacentral:rRNA from 1 species